GAUGAACGCUGGCGGCGUGCUUAACACAUGCAAGUCGAGCGGAGUUAUUUCAAGGAAGUUUUCGGAUGGAAUUGAAAUAACUUAGCGGCGGACGGGUGAGUAACGCGUGGGUAACCUGCCUCAUACAGGGGGAUAACAGUCGGAAACGACUGCUAAUACCGCAUAAGCGCACAGUGCUGCAUAGCACAGUGUGAAAAACUCCGGUGGUAUGAGAUGGACCCGCGUCUGAUUAGGUGGUUGGUGGGGUAACGGCCCACCAAGCCGACGAGCAGUAGCCGACCUGAGAGGGUGACCGGCCACAUUGGGACUGAGACACGGCCCAAACUCCUACGGGAGGCAGCAGUGGGGAAUAUUGGACAAUGGGGGAAACCCUGAUCCAGCGACGCCGCGUGAGUGAAGAAGUAUUUCGGUAUGUAAAGCACUAUCAGCAGGGAAGAAAAUGACGGUACCUGACUAAGAAGCCCCGGCUAACUACGUGCCAGCAGCCGCCGUAA
rnacentral:rRNA from 1 species